ACUACGCAACGGAUUUUUAUGCGGUUUUUUUUAAUAGAUAGAGUGAUUAAAUAGGAAGGUUUAUAAAUAUAAUAAUAUUAAAUAGUGGAGAAGUACUGUUAUUUUUGAGGUUUCUAAUGUGAUGUAAAUAAUUCCAUUUUUUCCGCUUACAUUGCAAACGCAGGCUGAACCCUACGAGUUUUAUCAAAAUAAUGUACUAAGUAUUGUACACAUUGAAAAGGUCUACAGAAAAGUCCGUGAUGGUAUAUGUCUAUCUCUUAUGGAGUUAUGGAUAACGCACAAUUACUUUUUUUUGUCAUUUACUUUUUACGACAAAUAAUGGCUAAUUUUCGAAGCGAUUUUAAUCAAUACAGCAUUAAUCCUUAACCAAUUAAAUACCUUGAAUACAUUGUUCAUUUAAUAUAGUGACUAUAUGGCCAUUUACACCGUAUGAUUUAAUUGAAUAUUUUCGAAGAUAUUACAGAUUUAAAAAUUGCGGGACGUAGCGUUUGCGGCGGUACCCGCGGCCGGCCGCCAUUGCACCCGUGCGAAGCCGGGGCGGGUCGCUAGUAUUAUAAAAAAAAUGAAACCCGUUUUGCGUUGUCACGGCAAUUCUUUUGUUAUUAUAUUCCUUGAAGAACGAUGAUGGUUCUUAUAUGGAUAAAACGUAAAUAUGUACCACGGGCGAAGCCAGGACAGACUGCUUGUAUAAUAUAUACGUACCUAUAUAGACUUGUAUUAUGAAAAACGAGACAUCGUUUUGAAAAAUGGGUAAGUCGAUUUUUCACAUAAUUAUACAAGACCCAAGUAGGGACAUAGCGAAAUAUAAAUAUACCAACUAGGUACUUAAACAGUUGCAUACAUUAGAUAGUUAUAUACCUAUUAGCUUGCCUUCUAUCUGUUCAUCAUCUUCAACAGACACAUUUUUCAAACAACAAUAGAUCUGUUACCUAACAUACCUACUUAUCUACUGAUUUUUACAGAUAACACUCAGCCAAAUUACCGAAAAAGUAAUAAAAAAGCGUUUACGUCUCUCGGCUCGAAGGAAAAAAUGUGGACCCACAAAACAAAAGAAUAAACAAGCGUUUUUAAAUGAAAACAAAGAAAACAUUGACAGUAAUGAUGUAUCACGGCUUAGUCUGGUGUUUGAAGGAAAUCGGAAUCAUCUUGACAACUAGUACAAAGGGUUUUAUUUAUAGUCCUAGAAUAAUAAAUAUCUUACACAAUUGUA